UGCUAACGUCCGUCGUGGAGAGGGAAACAACCCAGACCGCCAGCUAAGGUCCCAAAUUACUACUAAGUGGGAAACGAUGUGGGAAGGCUCAGACAGCCAGGAUGUUGGCUUAGAAGCAGCCAUCAUUAAAGAAAGCGUAAUAGCUCACUGGUCGAGUCGGCCUGCGCGGAAGAUGUAACGGGGCUAAGUAGUAAACCGAAGCUGCGGCAAUAACUUUUGAGUAUUGGGUAGGGGAGCGUUCUGUAAGCGGUUGAAGGUGUGUGGUAACGCAUGCUGGACGUAUCAGAAGUGCGAAUGCUGACAUGAGUAACGAUAAAGGGGGUGAAAAACCUCCUCGCCGGAAGACCAAGGGUUCCUGUCCAACGUUAAUCGGGGCAGGGUAAGUCGACCCCUAAGGCGAGGCCGAAAGGCGUAGUCGAUGGGAAACGGGUUAAUAUUCCCGUACUUCUUACAAUUGCGAUGGGGGGGACGGAGAAGGCUAGGUGGCCUGGCGACGGUUGUCCAGGUUCAAGUGCGUAGGCUU
rnacentral:rRNA from 1 species